AGAGUUUGAUCCUGGCUCAGGACGAACGCUGGCGGCGCGCCUAACACAUGCAAGUCGAACGGAGCUUAGAGAGCUUGCUUUUUAAGCUUAGUGGCGAACGGGUGAGUAACGCGUGAGUAACCCGCCCUAGAGUGGGGGACAACAGUUGGAAACGACUGCUAAUACCGCAUAAGCCCACGGUACCGCAUGGCACUGAGGGAAAAGGAUUUAUUCGCUUUAGGAUGGACUCGCGUCCAAUUAGCUAGUUGGUGAGGUAACGGCCCACCAAGGCGACAAUUGGUAGCCGGACUGAGAGGUUGAACGGCCACAUUGGGACUGAGACACGGCCCAGACUCCUACGGGAGGCAGCAGUGGGGGAUAUUGCACAAUGGGGGAAACCCUGAUGCAGCGACGCCGCGUGGAGGAAGAAGGUUUUCGGAUUGUAAACUCCUGUCGUUAGGGACGAUAAUGACGGUACCUAACAAGAAAGCACCGGCUAACUACGUGCCAGCAGCCGCGGU
rnacentral:rRNA from 1 species